CAUGGAUCUAGCUACAUUAAAUUCAACCCAUUUUUCAGAAAGGUUUAGGGGCGAAGCUUACCUGUUGCAGUACCUGCUGCUAAUGCAGUCUAGAUCUUCUGUAUGUCCUAGAGAACUCAUUUCUGGCACAUGACUUAUGUGGAAGAUGUCUGUCAGUGACUUCCCUCUUCUACUUAAGAACUGGUGUAUGGUGUGUUAAAUCUUUCUAUGUAUAAAUCUUUCCUACACUUUGUUUUUAUCCUCUCUGGCCUCAUUCAUGCCAAAUCUCCACAGGGACUGGGCCGAUGACCAGACAUUACUAGACAUUAUUAAAGAAACAGGAGGGCUGCAAGGAUGAAAGGUUUUAUCAUCUUGCCCAGGGUAUAUUCCUGCUCUGGGGCUGCCUUUUCUGCUCCUUGUAGAACACAGUGAGAACUGGCAGGAGGCCUAGGAGCUGUCACUACAUAAAGACAGCAUCUGCCUGCCACUUGCCCAGGGUAUGAACAUAAGGUCAGGCUUGUCCUCUCAGCUUGUGUGUGAGGCCCAGACAGGGCUGGAUUGAGGCAAGCACAGUAGCUCUCUGUGCUUGUACUACGGAAGUAUGAGGAAAAGCCAACAAGAGGUGCAAGGGGAGCUCAGGGCUGGGAAGGAGAGAACUCUGCUCACUACAGUUGAGGUGAGAUCUUUUAAAACUGCACUCAUCUCUUUGGUGUUUCUUCUUAGUAGACACUCAGACAUAGAACAGGAUGUGGGGAGUGGUCUGGAGAAGCCCCAGCUCUUUCACUUCCAUUGUUUUCAAAUCUCUCCUUUAAAUGUCCUCUAUACUCUCAGAGCAGGCCAGGAUAGAAAUAAAUAACCUGCCAGUUUGCAACAAAAGCAAAUAAAUAGUAAAUUCCUCAAACUGGUGAGUGUGGACAGUUUGGGAAAUGGGUCACUGGGCUGCUAGCAAUUAACUGGAGGCAAUGCAGCAUGAGGAGCUGAAGUGCAAAUAUUUGGGGGCCAGAUACAAAUAUCAAAGACAGAUUCUGCUUUCCCAAUCCUCCUUCCUGUCAUGCAUGCGCUCUCUAUAUAUUUUUGGCAACUGCUCUGUGGUGCUUUAAUAAAUUUAUUAGCCUACCUUUUGAGUUCAAAUUGAAACACAAAAUGUAAUAAAAAUCAACAUUUUAAAAAAAGCCAAUAAUGGUUUAAUUUUUUUAAAAAAGCAAGAGUCUGUACUCAGGAUUUGUUAAUAGCUUCUAGCAUAGCUAGACACAACUGCCCUGUGGUUUCAUAUGGGUCUUGGGGCUGAGGUGGGGGGUGCAAUUUCUCUCUCUCUCUCUCUCUCUCUCUCUCUCUCUCUCUCUCUCUGUGUGUGUGUGUGUAUGUGUGUGUGUGAAGUAGUCCUGAAUAGGAUCAGAGUUUUGCUUCUCCUAGAUGGGUUACUUUCCCAGGUUGACAAGCCCCAUCUGCCUCUCAUUUCCAUCUACAGCAUGUGCAGAAACCACCUUUUUGACCGCUGGACCUACUAUUGGUCUCAUCCACUCAAUCUGUUGCAGCCUGUCUUCACAUGCAUGGGUUUGAGACCCAUUGGCUGCCCACGCCUGGUUCAGCCAGCCAGUCGAAGCUGUUCCUGGUGUGUGUGGCCGCUGUCAGCUUCUAGGAGGCACAGGUGAGGGCUGAGGGCAGGAUGAGGGCCAGAGGCAGACACACUGCCCCAGAAGGAGCACAGUGUGACUUUCAUCAGAGGUAUUACCCCUCCUUUCUAAUGAAAAUAAUAUAUGGAUGAAGUUUUCAUUGAACCAGGUUGAAGAAAGGGUAACCACUGUUUACCAAAAUGCCGAUGUGAUAAAACCAGUUGGGUGCUGUGUAGCAUGAAUAGCUACUGAAUGAUAAGGAAUGGCAACACAUAUGGGAAGCAAGCCUGAGCAAGUUUUUGCAGUGCUCAUAUCACCCAGAAGAGAGUCAAUGAAGAUGCUCUAGCUCUGUGGACUUGUAAAGAGUUUCAGUGUCUCCCUGUGUUGUUGACUCUUGCUUUGGUUUAUUGGAGCAUAACAGGAGUAUUGGGGAAUGGGAAAAGCAGCUCUAUGGAGACCAGGCUCACAGCAGCAUUUUUCCUUCUCCCCACAACCAUUUCCAUCAUGGAAGAAGGGAAUUUUUCUCGGUAUACUAUGCCUGGUUUUUUGUUUUGUUUUGUUUUUUACUUCUCUGAAUGUCUUCAUUUUAAGAUUUCUCUUCUACCCUAGUAACUCUGGCCUCCCACUAAGAUUCAGUACAGCUUGUGCUAUGCUAUUUGGAUAUAUUCUUUACAAUAUUUAUCAGUCAUUGCAUUUGUAGCCCACCUUUUUCUCUAAAGAUCUCAAGAUGACGUACAUGGUUCUCUCCUCACUUAAUCCUCACAACAGUUCUGUGAGGUAGGAUAAACUGAAGGCAGCGACUGGCCCAAGGUCACACAGUGAGUUUCAUGGUUGAGUGGAGAUUUGAACCCAGUUCCUAGCCCAACGCUUUAACCACAACACAAUACUGGCUGGUGUGGCAGCUACCUUGGGUUAAGCAGACUUAUGAAACUGCAUUUCCCUAAAGUGUGGAUAGUAAUGGAUUCAGGAGCUAUUUUGGCAUGCAAGUGGUAUAUAAAUAAAGGAAGUCACCCUGGGUAUCUUCAUGUGUGCUGAUGAAAGAGUCCCAGAGCCCAGUGAGUCCCUCAGCAGCAAACAGUGUUUAUGGGGAACUGUUAGCAUUCAUUUGCUUUCUAAUCUAUGCCAUGAAUGCUCUGCUGCUUGCAGACACUCUUGGGUUACCUGUCUGGCCUUAGCUCAGGGACGUAAUAAGAAGUGGGCUUACUUGCAAGCUGUUCCUUGUGAAUUGUGGUGAUUCACAGGAGACCUCAGGGAAGGCUGCCUGCCAGCAAUUAAUGCCCUGAAGACUUGGAGGGCAUUGUCCCAUAGCAACAUUGCUCUGCCAGAGCUCUGUGCCUGUAUGGGAGGGGGGAGUGGUGGAGCGUAGGCAGGCAGAUUGGAGUACAAAGCAAUUUAAUUAGCUGUGAGCCUUCUUGUAUGUCUCUUAGGGAAGGAGUACUUGGCAGAUUGAAUGCUCACUCCCACUACCCUUUUGUGAGGCCUUUUGCCAGGACUACUUUUCAAGAUCGUUGUGGAUGGAAUAGUGAAACUGCUGAAGAAGAAGAAACCUUGCAGACCUUGCCUUCCUGUGCUGGGACAGAAUUUGUAUCAACUCCAAUAUCCUAAAAGAAUGACUUUGAUUGUGUAG